AGAGAGAGAGAGAGAGAGAGAGAGAGAGAGAGAGGCCGUCCAUCAAUAAACUGAAAAGAUUAUUUUGUAAGACAAUGAGUGGACAUAAAAAUGUUGGAAAUCUAUCUUAAUGUUGUAUGUGAAAGUUGACGUGUCCCUUUCUUUUUGAAACAUUGAGUCAUCCGCCUUUUGAUUUACUAGUCAUUGUUUAGUUUGUUUAUUGUUCUUCGCAUGAUCUUUACAUAAACUUCAGCAGAAAAAAAACACAACAUCAAA
rnacentral:sRNA from 1 species